rnacentral:rRNA from 1 species
UACAGAGGGUGCAAACGUUGUUCGGAAUUACUGGGCGUAAAGCGCGUGCAGGCGGUUCGUUGUGUCUGCUGUGAAAUCCCCGGGCUCAACCUGGGAAUGGCAGUGGAAACUGGCGAGCUUGAGUGUGGCAGAGGGGGGUGGAAUUCCGCGUGUAGCAGUGAAAUGCGUAGAGAUGCGGAGGAACACCGAUGGCGAAGGCAACCCCCUGGGCUAACACUGACGCUCAUGCACGAAAGCGUGGGGAGCAAACAGG